UGCCGGGAAUGAAGUUCUCCCCUGGGCAACCUAAACCGCUGACAAAGCUGAUGACUUCUGU
rnacentral:ncRNA from 1 species